UGUAUGCGGAUGUAGGCCAGAAGAGGGCGU
rnacentral:piRNA from 1 species